rnacentral:rRNA from 1 species
GACGAACGCUGGCGGCGUGCUUAACACAUGCAAGUCGAACGAUGAAGCCGGAGCUUGCUCUGGUGAAUUAGUGGCGAACGGGUGAGUAACACGUGAGUAACCUGCCCUUGACUCUGGGAUAACUGCGGGAAACUGUAGCUAAUACCGGAUACGACCCUCGGAGGCAUCUCCUGGGGGUGGAAAGAAUUUCGGUCAAGGAUGGACUCGCGGCCUAUCAGUUAGUUGGUGAGGUAAAGGCUCACCAAGGCGAGGACGGGUAGCCGGCCUGAGAGGGUGACCGGCCACACUGGGACGGAGACACGGCCCAGACUCCUACGGGAGGCAGCAGUGGGGAAUAUUGCACAAUGGGCGCAAGCCUGAUGCAGCAACGCCGCGUGAGGGAUGACGGCCUUCGGGUUGUAAACCUCUUUUAGCAGGGAAGAAGCGAAAGUGACGGUACCUGCAGAAAAAGCACCGGCUAACUACGUGCCAGCAGCCGCGGUAA